CCUACGGGAGGCUGCAGUGGGGAAUAUUGGGCAAUGGGCGCAAGCCUGACCCAGCAACGCCGCGUGAAGGAAGAAGGCUUUCGGGUUGUAAACUUCUUUUCAGGGGGACGAACAAAUGACGGUACCCCUUGAAUAAGCCACGGCUAACUACGUGCCAGCAGCCGCGGUAAUACGGAGGUGGCACGCGUUAUCCGGUUUUAUUGGGUGUAAAGGGCGUGUAGGCGGGAGCGCAAGUCAGAUGUGAAAACUCAGGGCUCAACCCUGAGCCUGCAUUUGAAACUGUGUUUCUUGAGUGCUGGAGAGGCGAGUGGAAUUCCGAGUGUAGCGGUGAAAUGCGUAGAUAUACGGAGGAACACCAGUGGCGAAGGCGGAUUGCUAAACAGUAACUGACGCUGAGGCGCGAAAGCGUGGGGAGCAAACAGGAUUAGAUACCCGGGUAGUC
rnacentral:rRNA from 1 species